UGGAGUAGUAUUUGAAAGUAGCGGUGGCAAAAAUCCUUGCAAAUUUCGCCUAGGUGAUGAAGAAGUAAUGGAUGGUUUUAAUAUGGGCAUUGAUGGUAUGCGUCUUGGUGAUAAGAGGAGACUUAUAAUCCCUCCAUCUCUAGGUUUUGGAGAACAAGGAUUUGGUACAAGUGUACCUCCAAAUCAUGG